AUAACUCUUGUUAAGGAACUCUGCAAAAUGAACCCGUAACUUCGGGAGAAGGGUUGCUCUCUAGCGUGAGUAUGAGCAAUACAGAGCGCAGGAGAGUCGCAGUGAAAAGGUCCAGGCGACUGUUUAGCAAAAACACAGGUCAUUGCAAAAUCGCAAGAUGAAGUAUAAUGGCUGACGCCUGCCCGGUGCUGGAAGGUUAAGGGGAAGAGUGCAAGCUUUGAACCGAAGCCCCAGUAAACGGCGGCCGUAACGAUAACGGUCCUAAGGUAGCGAAAUUCCUUGUCGGGUAAGUUCCGACCCGCACGAAAGGCGAAACGAUCUGGACGCUGUCUCAACAAGGGACUCGGUGAAAUUGAAAUUCCGGUAAAGAUGCCGGAUACCUGCGAUAGGACAGAAAGACCCCAUGGAGCUUUACUGUAGCCUGAUAUUGGGUUUCGGAUAUUCAUGUACAGGAUAGGUGGGAGACUAAGAAGCAUGGACGCCAGUUUGUGCGGAGUCACUGGUGGGAUACCACCCUUAAAUGUUUGGAAUUCUAACAAGGAGUCUUGAAGCAGAUUAUUGGACAGUGUCAGGUGGGCAGUUUGACUGGGGCGGUCGCCUCCCAAAAGGUAACGGAGGCGCUCAAAGGUUCCCUCAGAACGGAUGGAAAUCGUUCGCAGAGUGCAAAGGCAGAAGGGAGCUUGACUGCGAGAGCCACAACUCGAGCAGAUAGGAAACUAGGACUUAGUGAUCCGGCGGUCGCGAGUGGAAGUGCCGUCGCUCAACGGAUAAAAGCUACCCUGGGGAUAACAGGCUUAUCUCCCCCAAGAGUUCACAUCGACGGGGAGGUUUGGCACCUUGAUGUCGGCUCAUCGCAUCCUGGGGCUGAAGUAGGUCCCAAGGGUUGGGCUGUUCGCCCAUUAAAGCGGUACGCGAGCUGGGUUCAGAACGUCGUGAGACAGUUCGGUCCCUAUCCAUCGCGGGCGUAGGAAAUUUGAAGGGAGCUGACCCUAGUACGAGAGGACCGGGUUGGACAGACCGCUGGUGAACCAGUUGUUCUGCCAAGAGCAUAGCUGGGUAGCUAAGUCUGGAAAAGAUAAACGCUGAAAGCAUCUAAGCGUGAAGCGAACCUUAAGAUGAGAUUUCCCACAACGAAAGUUGACAAGACACCAGAGAGAAUAACUGGUAGAUAGGUCAGGAGUGUAAGUGUGGUGACACAUUGAGCGGACUGAUACUAAUAAGUCGAAGACUUAGCCAU
rnacentral:rRNA from 1 species